UUCCUAUCAAGGGUCAUGUCCUCGGAAACCUGCAUUCUAGUCAUGUCCUGCCUAAUCACCUCUCCCCAAUAUUUCUUAGGCCUCCCUCUGCCUCGCCGACCGCCAACAAUCUCCAGCCGCUCGCAGCUCCUCACCGGGGCAUCGAGACUUCUUCUCCGCACAUGCCCGAACCACCUCAGCCUCGCUUCUCGCAUCUUCUCAUCCACCGGAGCCACCCCCACCUUCUCUC
rnacentral:lncRNA from 1 species